rnacentral:tRNA from 1 species
GGAGGGGGGCUUGGCUCAGGGGAAGAACACUUGCAUGGCAUGCAGAAGGCCAUAGGUUCAAUCCCCAGCUUCUCCA